GACGAACCGUGCGAACGUUGUUCGGAAUCACUGGGCUUAAAGGGCGCGUAGGCGGGUUCGCAAGUCAGGGGUGAAAUCUUUCAGCUUAACUGGAAAACAGCCCCUGAUACUGCGAGUCUCGAGGGAGGUAGGGGCAUGUGGAACUUCCGGUGGAGCGGUGAAAUGCGUAGAUAUCGGAAGGAACGCCGGUGGCGAAAGCGACGUGGCUGGACCUCUUCUGACGCUGAGGCGCGAAAGCUAGGGGAGCAAAUGGG
rnacentral:rRNA from 1 species